rnacentral:lncRNA from 1 species
CAAGCGCCGUGCAAAACACCUGAAAGUGUCUCGUGUGUAGUAAGCAAAUAUGCACGUUCAAUUUUAGUGUCUUCCCUUUCAGAAUGAGUUUUUGUAUGUGGAACGCAUUGCAGGAAGGUCUGGCCAUCCCCUGCCAAAAAAAAAAAAAAAGGAAGAAAAGGAAAAAGAACCAAAUCACCACCUGUGCCACUCCAAAGGAAGAAUCCCUGAUCUUUGGGAAUUCCACCCUCUGCAACAUGGAUGGCAAUACUAGUCUGCAGUGGAGCCUCCUCACUCCUAAGAUCAACUGUGAGUAAGUUACCAGAGUUUCCCAG